AUUGAACGCUGGCGGCAUGCCUUACACAUGCAAGUCGAACGGCAGCGCGGGGGCAACCCUGGCGGCGAGUGGCGAACGGGUGAGUAAUAUAUCGGAACGUACCCAAGAGUGGGGGAUAACGUAGCGAAAGUUACGCUAAUACCGCAUACGAUCUAAGGAUGAAAGCAGGGGACCGCAAGGCCUUGUGCUCCUGGAGCGGCCGAUAUCUGAUUAGCUAGUUGGUGGGGUAAAGGCCUACCAAGGCAUCGAUCAGUAGCUGGUCUGAGAGGACGACCAGCCACACUGGGACUGAGACACGGCCCAGACUCCUACGGGAGGCAGCAGUGGGGAAUUUUGGACAAUGGGGGCAACCCUGAUCCAGCAAUGCCGCGUGAGUGAAGAAGGCC
rnacentral:rRNA from 1 species